UACGAAGGGGGCUAGCGUUGUUCGGAAUUACUGGGCGUAAAGCGCACGUAGGCGGAUUGUUAAGUUAGGGGUGAAAUCCCAGGGCUCAACCCUGGAACUGCCUUUAAUACUGGCAAUCUCGAGUCCGAGAGAGGUGAGUGGAAUUCCGAGUGUAGAGGUGAAAAUUCGUAGAUAUUCGGAAGGAACACCAGUGGCGAAGGCGGCCA
rnacentral:rRNA from 1 species